CUGAUUAGCUUGUAGACUGUGAGAAAGAAGAGGAAGCCCUAAGAAUGAGUCAGAAACUGAGCUCAUGGAAUUUCCCCAGGCAGCUAUGGAGGCACUGAGCACCAAGGAGCUGAAGGAGCUAUCCCAAGAGGAGAAAGAAUCAUGCAAGGCAUAGAGAAGGCAGCAGCUACGAAGCAAGAUGUGGCAUCCAGCAGCGGACAAAAUUCCAAGUGAGGAAAUGAUCAAAUCUUAACAUCACUCACUCAAGUCUAAGUAUGAACACAAGUACC
rnacentral:lncRNA from 1 species